rnacentral:rRNA from 1 species
AUUGAACGCUGGCGGCAGGCCUAACACAUGCAAGUCGAGCGAUCGGCGCGCGCGGGAGUAAUACCCGGGAACCUGCCUGCUGGAGGGGGGUAACUACUGGAAACGGUAACUAAUACCGCAUACCCUCAGUUUUUCCCAGAUGGGAUUAGCUAGUAGGUGGGGUUACGGCUCACCUAGGCGACGAUCCCUAGCUGGUCUGAGAGGAUGACCAGCCACACUGGAACUGAGACACGGUCCAGACUCCUACGGGAGGCAGCAGUGGGGAAUCUUGCGCAAUGGACGCAAGUCUGAUGCAGCAAUGCCGCGUGAGUGAUGACGGCCUUCGGGUUGUAAAGCACUGUAAGUCGGGACGCGUUACCCGAAUAGAAAGCAACGGCUAACUACGUGCCAGCAGCCGCGGUAAUAC